AGAUUGAACGCUGGCGGCAGGCCUAACACAUGCAAGUCGAGCGGUAGAGAGGUGCUUGCAUCCCUUGAGAGCGGCGGACGGGUGAGUAAUGCCUAGGAAUCUGCCUAGUGGUGGGGGAUAACGUUCGGAAACGGACGCUAAUACCGCAUACGUCCUACGGGAGAAAGCGGGGGACCUUCGGGCCUCGCGCCAUUAGAUGAGCCUAGGUCGGAUUAGCUAGUUGGUGAGGUAAUGGCUCACCAAGGCGACGAUCCGUAACUGGUCUGAGAGGAUGAUCAGUCACACUGGAACUGAGACACGGUCCCAGACUCCGUACGGGGAGCAGCGAAGGUGGGGGAAAUAGUUAGGAAC
rnacentral:rRNA from 1 species